rnacentral:rRNA from 1 species
CCUACGGGUGGCAGCAGUGAGGAAUAUUGGUCAAUGGACGAGAGUCUGAACCAGCCAAGUAGCGUGAAGGAUGACUGCCCUAUGGGUUGUAAACUUCUUUUAUAUGGGAAUAAAAUGUUCCACGUGUGGGGUUUUGUAUGUACCAUAUGAAUAAGGAUCGGCUAACUCCGUGCCAGCCGCCGCGGUAAUACGGAGGAUCCGAGCGUUGCCCGGUUUUUGUGGGUUUAAAGGGGGCGUAGGUGGAUUGUUAAGUCAGUUGUGAAAGUUUGCGGCUCAACCGUAAAAUUGCAGUUGAAACUGGCAGUCUUGAGUACAGUAGAGGUGGGCGGAAUUCGUGGUGUAGCGGUGAAAUGCUUAGAUAUCACGAAGAACUCCGAUGGCGAAGGCAGCUCACUGGACUGCAACUGACACUGAGGCUCGAAAGUGUGGGUAUCAAACAGGAUUAGAUACCCCUGUAGUC